GUAGGUGGCAAGCGUUGUCCGGAAUUAUUGGGCGUAAAGCGCGCGCAGGCGGUCCUUUAAGUCUGAUGUGAAAGCCCACGGCUCAACCGUGGAGGGUCAUUGGAAACUGGGGGACUUGAGUACAGAAAAGGAAAGCGGAAUUCCAAGUGUAGCGGUGAAAUGCGUAGAGAUUUGGAGGAACACCAGUGGCGAAGGCGGCUUUCUGGUCUGUAACUGACGCUGAGGCGCGAAAGCGUGGGGAGCAAACAGGAUUAGAUACCCUGGUAGUCCACGCCGUAAACGAUGAGUGCUAAGUGUUAGGGGGUUUCCCGCCCCCCUUAGUGCUGCAGCUAACGCAUUAAGCACUCCGCCUGGGGGAGUACGGCCGCAAGGCUG
rnacentral:rRNA from 1 species